UGGGGUUCUUCACGGUGAAUUGCAGUUGCUGCACGUAAGUCGGCACUCGAUCCAGAUUCUCCAGGAGUUCUUUCUUGUGCGGUCCACUUGGUACCUGCGCCCAUGUAACAUCGUAUACAAACUUAUGUCUUGGUUCGUCUCGCAAGGCAAAUUCAUUCACGCUUGAUUCUCAACGGUCCGAAAGUAGCAAGGUGAAUAAGUCAGUGGCCUAUAUAGGUAAUCGAUUGUUCAUUGAACGAAAUUAUAUCAAUGAGCUACAUAAUGUUACUAUUGUGGCAAUAUUACUUUAAUUUAUUAUUUAAGUAUUCGAUUCGAAAAGUGCAUAAGCAAAUAUUCUAAUCGGUUUUACUCGUUGUCGAUAUUACGUCCAAGAAUUCUUAUUUUUUUAUAUUAAUUUCUACAUUGCAUUUCGAGGAAUAAGCAACAUAAAUUUAUGAGAGCAAUUUAAAGCAUUUGUCAUAUAUUUGCACUUAUGUUGCUGCCGUUACAAAAAAACGAUGUAUAUAACAGGGACGAAUAAAUGAUCGUUGAAAAUUUCUGGAUACAUUUGCCUUGCGAAGUCAUAUUGUUCAUAUUUAGCGCAUUUCUUCGAGAUUCUGUAAAGCAAUGCCUGAUUCUAUUGUUUACUCUUUAUUGUAUAACUAGCAAGUAGUACUUCAAGUACUACGUAUCAUAAUACGAAAUUUGCAUCUAAAAAGUUAACAGAAAGAUCGUCUAUCUGUCCUAGUAGAACGCAAUGCAAGACUUUCAACUGUAACUGAACGUAAAAACUUGCUUGAGAUAGAUAUCAGAGUGACUGUGUGAAGUGACAGCGAAAUAGUACAGACCUUGUUGUUCUUGCCAGCUUCUCGCUCUGCGACAAUAGAUUCUGCUUUAUGGGGCACAUUUUAUUAAUGUCCGCAGCCGUUUUUGCUACCGCAAACUUUUUAGAUACCCAUGUUUAUUGCAUACUGCGUAAUGCGCUUUUUUAACGUGUAUGUGGGAUUAUGACGAGAUAUUUCUAGCAAAUGUAAUACGUAUCGUAUUUAUAACGUGCAUUACGGAACAAGUUAAUUAUGCAUGUAUCACAUUUUUCGACGAGCGUCGUUUAACGGAACGCGAUGCUGGAAGCUGGCAAAAACUUUGAGACAUAAUACUCAUGCCCCAGAUAAGUGGAAGGAGAGGGACCACAAUGCACAUAGACGUCGUCCAUAGACGGAAGCAUUCCCGUAGCAUCUAAAACACACCUUACUAAUCGUACACAAAAAAGUCGUAAAUGUAUGUACACAAAAUAGAUUUGCUAACGAAAUCAUGGACGUUCAUUAUGACAGUUCAGAUGACGUGAUGCGUGGAUCACAUUGGAUUGCCGGAACAGUCGACUCAAUCAUGUAUCGAGAAUCACGUUUCGUAAAAUGUACACUAAGGAGAAGAUUGCACGUUCGACUUUACUCCAUGAUGUUACUCGAUGUUAUUCGCAUUUGAACGUGAUUCUCGCGCGAAUACAUGAAAUUAUUAAUUAAAUCCGUUUGGGAUGAAUUAUAUAAUGACCCUUUUUUAAUCGAUAACUGUGGUCAACAUUUUAUUUCGUCUUCGAUCGUUGAAUCCGUGUCUCUUUAGGCUUUUAGACGUUUCUUGAGACAAAACUCGAUGUCAUUCGUAAUGAUCAGUUAGAGAGUCUACGUGCGUGAUGUUGCAUAGCAAGAUAUAGGUACGUAGACAGAGACGAUAUGUACAAAUAUGAUGGCAACACUCAGCAACGGUGGAACAGAGCUGCCGCAGAGAUAGAGAGAGAAAGAGAGAGAAAGAGAGAAACAUAUAUGUACGGCAAUGAGAAUGAUCUUGAUAAGGCGAAUAAGUGUGAUGUCUAUUAGUCCAAAAGGGUCUAAAGUAAAGAGAGAAAAAGUUACCUGGAUGGAGGCAUUCAAGAGCGAGGGUCAAAAAA